rnacentral:rRNA from 1 species
UACGUAGGGUGCAAGCGUUAAUCGGAAUUACUGGGCGUAAAGCGUGCGCAGGCGGUUAUGUAAGACAGAUGUGAAAUGCCCGGGCUUAACCUGGGAACUGCAUUUGUGACUGCAUGGCUAGAGUUUGGCAGAGGGGGGUAGAAUUCCACGUGUAGCAGUGAAAUGCGUAGAUAUGUGGAGGAAUACCGAUGGCGAAGGCAGCCCCCUGGGUCAAGACUGACGCUCAUGCACGAAAGCGUGGGGAGCAAACAGG